rnacentral:rRNA from 1 species
UACAGAGGUGGCAAGCGUUGUUCGGAAUUACUGGGCGUAAAGGGCGCGUAGGCGGUUCUGUAAGUCCGGCGUGAAAUCCCCCGGCUCAACUGGGGAACUGCGCGGGAAACUGUGGGGCUAGAGUUCAGGAGAGGGAAGCGGAAUUCCGGGUGUAGCGGUGAAAUGCGUAGAUAUCCGGAGGAACACCGGUGGCGAAGGCGACUUCCUGGACUGACACUGACGCUGAGGCGCGAAAGCUAGGGGAGCAAACGGG